GACGAACGCUGGCGGCGUGGAUUAGGCAUGCAAGUCGAACGGUAUCAUCCUUUCGGGGGUGAGAGAGUGGCGAACUGGUGAGUAACACGUAGGUUAUCUACCCUCAAGACGGGGACAACCCAGGGAAACUUGGGCUAAUACCGGAUGAAAGCAGCAGUGAUGUUGUUUGAAAGGUGGCGUAAGCUGCCGUUUGGGGAUGAGCCUGCGCUCUAUUAGUUAGUUGGCGGGGUAAAGGCCCACCAAGGCGAUGAUAGAUAGGCGGCCUUAACGGGUGGUCGCCCACACUGGGAUUGAGAUACGGCCCAGACUCCUACGGGAGGCAGCAGUCGAGAAUAGUCUACAAUGGCCGAAAGGCUGAUAGUGCGACGCCGCGUGAACGAAGAAGCCCUUCGGGUGUAAGUUCUUUUAUAUGUGAGCAGUGCUUUCUAUGUGAACAGCAUGGGGAGAGAGAUAUUAGCAUAUGAAUAAGCAACGGCUAACUCCGUGCCAGCAGCCGC
rnacentral:rRNA from 1 species